rnacentral:rRNA from 1 species
CAAGUCGAACGAGGGUCCUUCGGGACUCGAGUGGCGAACGGGUGAGUAACACGUAGGGAACCUGCCCGUGCGACCGGGAGAACUUUCGGAAACGGAAGCUGAUACCGGAUAGGGACAGAGACGGCAUCGACUCUGUGUUAAAGGAGCUGCAAGGCUCCGCGCACGGAUGGACCUGCGGUGCAUUAGCUGGUUGGUGAGGUAACGGCUCACCAAGGCGACGAUGCAUAGCCGGCCUGAGAGGGCGGACGGCCACACUGGGACUGAGACACGGCCCAGACUCCUACGGGAGGCAGCAGUAGGGAAUUUUCGUCAAUGGGCGCAAGCCUGAACGAGCAAUGCCGCGUGAACGAGGAAGGUCUUCGGAUCGUAAAGUUCUGUUGAAGGGGAAAAAGAGCGGAGAGAGGAAAUGGUCUCCGAUUGAUAUUACCCUUCGAGGAAGUCACGGCUAACUACGUGCCAGCAGCCGCGGUAAUACGUAGGUGGCGAGCGUUAUCCGGAAUGAUUGGGCGUAAAGGGUGCGUAGGCGGCCUGCUAAGUCUGGAGUGAAAGGUACCGGCUCAACCGGUACAGGCUCUGGAAACUGGCGGGCUAGAGAGCAGGAGAGGGCGGUGGAACUCCAUGUGUAGCGGUAAAAUGCGUAGAUAUAUGGAAGAACACCAGUGGCGAAGGCGGCCGCCUGGCCUGUUACUGACGCUGAGGCACGAAAGCGUGGGGAGCAAAUAGGAUUAGAUACCCUAGUAGUCCACGCCGUANACGAUGAGGACCAAGUGUUGGGGANGACCCAGUGCUGCAGUUAACGCAGUGAGUCCUCCGCCUGGGGAGUAUGCACGCAAGUGU